CUAUAGAUGACACAUCGUGACUGAGGAGCUGCUGCUGAAUGUCUUCUCUUGCGCACGCUGGCCGGGUUGCCAUGGCACGUGGCACCGACUGGCGCACGUCACGCAAGCUGUGAUGUCAUUGAGCCCCGACAGCGGAGAAUAGUGGUGAGGUCAUAGUUCCUGUGGGGGUCUCUUUUCUCCUCUUCUACCCUAUUUAUGUGCGGCGAUACAAGAGGACAGUCUCUGAGCCGGGCGCCUGCGGAAGCCGGGUCUCCAUGGAAACGCAGAUGCCGGAAGUGUAUGCUGCGGCUGCGUCUGGGUUUCCAGGGCAACACAGUCGGCCAGCGGCGCUGAGAUGGAGGACUCUGCGGCGCACUGAUGACAUCACUUCACACACGGUGCCCGGGAAAGGAGCACUGUCUAAUCCCGGUCACAUAUUUUCCCGCCGGCGGGUCUUCUCUGCAC